UACGAAGGGGGCUAGCGUUGCUCGGAUUGACUGGGCGUAAAGGGCGCGUAGGCGGCUUGCAGCGUCAGAUGUGAAAUUCCUGGGCUUAACCUGGGGGCUGCAUUUGAUACGUGUGGGCUUGAGUGCGGAAGAGGGUCGUGGAAUUCCCAGUGUAGAGGUGAAAUUCGUAGAUAUUGGGAAGAACACCGGUGGCGAAGGCGGCGACCUGGUCCGUGACUGACGCUGAGGCGCGAAAGCGUGGGGAGCAAACAGG
rnacentral:rRNA from 1 species